UACGUAGGGUCCGAGCGUUGUCCGGAGUUACUGGGCGUAAAGGGCGUGUAGGCGGUUUGUUAAGUCUGGCGUGAAAGCUCUCGGCUAAACCGGGAGAGGUCGUUGGAUACUGGCAAACUAGAGGAUGGUAGAGGCGUGUGGAAUUCCGGGUGUAGUGGUGAAAUGCGUAGAGAUCCGGAGGAACACCAGUGGCGAAGGCGACACGCUGGGCCAUACCUGACGCUAAAGCGCGACAGCAUGGGGAGCAAACGGG
rnacentral:rRNA from 1 species